CAAAGAAGCUGUUUCGUCAGAUAUAAUUGGACUCUUCAGGGGGAAGGAAUGAUUCAUCAUAGUCAAAAAAAAGGAAGAGGGAUCCAUUCCGGGAUGAGUGAGAGAACAGGGAAAAGGGUCUUGUGUUGUGAAAAAUAAUAGUGACACAGGGGCGUUUGGGAUGUGGAAGGAACAGAACAGAGGCCAGAGGAAAAUGGCACAAAAUGAGAAAAAACUGUGAAUGAUAAAUGGAGAGAGGGCAAGUUCUGGAGAGCAUGGGAUAUGAGCGGAUGUUUAUCCAGGCUCCUAGCUCGCAGCUCUCAGUGGACAGGGCCUUCCACCAAUCAUUCUCAGCUUCAAUACCAACACGUAAACACACAGCCGCUUGUGUUGCAACAGAAGAUGCGCAUGGCUCUGAUUUCACACCAGGCUGGCAUGUUAUUGUCCCAUUCAAGACCCAAGCUCUGGAUUCCUAUGGGAGAAGCUUCCUGCUGAGUGUCAGAGAAAGAAGUCACUCUCUUUCAACACAUGAGUGGGUGCUUUUGAUGGCCCCUCUCACAACCUGUGGUGUGACGAGAUACUGUGCUGUUGCUUAUCAUUCAGAUCAUCAUGCAGAUAUGGAUGCUAGGGACCGCUUUUCAUCCACUCCUGCAGCAUCCUUCCUCUUCAUACUCCAGCUCCCUCACCUACUUGAUGACCUACCUCACUCUUCUGAUAUUUUCCAGAUGAUUCUCUCACAGCCCCAUUUACUCUCCUGCUUUCUUCAUCACAUCCUUCUCCAUCUUUAGAAAAGCAAGAGGAAGGUCUAAGUGAGCAAAAGCUGCAGCCUGGGGACUCUGUGAUUGAUAAAUCCCUCCUCGCCAGUGACAGUGGGCUCCUCAGCUCCAAUCACAGUACAAAUUGGCUAAAAUGCCUGCUGGUGUUUAUGCACAUAUCCACAGCUAGAAUGGCUGGUCUGAUAGCAGCUAAAGAGAGAGAGAGAGAGAGAUUCAGAGGGUAUCAGCAUUGCCUCAGUGGGAGCUCCAUUUACCGCAAUUAGAACAGGUAAAUUAAGAAACUGUCUUUACCAACUUUACAACAGAAACAACACAGAAAUGGACAGAAGCGUGACAGCUGAGGGAUGCAUGUUGUCUAUGACCUUUGAAGUUAUUGAGGUCAGUCAUGUAUAACAUCCUUGGGUUGCGUUAGUCGUUAGGUGUAUAUUUAGCCUGCCAAGUCAAAUAAUCUGAUGGAAUCCAUUUUGGUGUACUACUCGCAGCAUUGUGAUUAUUUCCUGCCCAGCAGAAUAUAAAAACUGGUCAACAUUUCCAGACCUAUUAAAAUGGCCGUUGUGUAUGCUUCACCCAGAAAUCUGUUGUUUCUGGUAGAAUUGAAAACAUCACAUUUCAUUGUUUGUGUUGUUAACUUUUUGUUAAUUAUUAUUAUUAUUAGUUUAUUUAAAAAGGGACAGUGCAAUUUCAAAAAACACAUGAUUACACAUGGUUAAAAAAGCCAGAAUUAGCCAGAAGGCUAGUUUUCAUCUGUAGCCCCCUGGCCAUGAUUUAAAAAGGCAAAAAGCACACUUACAUAUACAACACUUACUAUAUAUAUAUAUAUGAAAAAACAUUUAAUCAAAACAUCAUAUUAGGUUUGUAUUUUUAGUGUUGGCAGCUGUAAGUGUUCAUAAGCCACAUUCUCAUUUAUUUGUGAAAGCCUUGUAUGUUGUAAUAAUAGUGAGUUCCAUGCUCUCGCACCCCUUACUGACCAGGCCGACUUACUGAAAGUGCUCCAGCAAAUGUAUGAAGACUGUCCCAAUUUAAAAUGUUAUAUUUGUUUAAAAUUGCACAGUGAUAAUAAUAGUGCCUCUGUUUUUAUCCAUGACUCUAUUUGCUUGUUUGUACAAGACUUCCAAGGGUGUUUUUUUCCCAAGAUAUUUAUAUUGGCUGACAAAUUGUAUUUUUUCUCCAUUAACAUGUAUGUUGGGGUCAGGUGAUACUUUGCUUCAGUCUAAUUAUUCUUCAGUCAUAAGUAUUGUUGGCCUGCUUUUGAUCUCUCUCAGCCCCCAGAAUUCUUUGCAGUUAUAUUCAGAAUCUCCAUCAAAAAAUACAUAAAUUAUGGUUGAAUGUAUAAUCAUUCACUAAUAUAUUAGAUGAGGAUUUAUUAUUAAGGCCACACAAACAAGUUUUUGUACACACUGAGCCUGCACAAGAACAAUUGCCGCACAUCCAUAAACUGGCAUGUCAACAGAAAGCCUUCUGCUCUGCCACACAAUGAUAGGCUUUAUGAGGAAUUUAAUAAGCCCCUAUCCAUGUUGUGCCCACAUGCCUUAUCACUGCCAAUAGAAAAAUAUCCAUUUGGCCUCUGACAUCCUCAGAAUUAUGAACCAUCGCUGUUUACGAGCCCGUCCCUAUUCUUUACGCUACAUCCUGCACCGCCACCCAUCCAGCACACAUCCUGACUCACCCCCUUCACCCCCCCUCCUCCCCUCCUCCUCCUCCUCCUCCUCCCAUGUGCUAUAAGGGCCAAACAUUCAGCCUCUUAAGCCGAGGGCCUCAUAGUGGGAUGCCUCUGAUCUGAAUCUGCUUUAGAGACAAGGUUAAUAAUAUCUUUGAGAAUAGUCGGUAGCAACAGGACCUGGCAUGGCCUUCUCUACUGAUCAGUGUUGUAGGAGGGUGGGACUGGGGCAGGGUGAAGGGAGCAUAAGCACAAGCAGGGAAGCUGCAUUUACAUACUUUAGUGCCAAGAGCUGAUAUUUAAUUACCAGCCUGCCAAGAUGGUGGGAUCAGUUUGCAUGUUGUUCCGUUUCUGAUCAUUGCCAUCUCAUGAGACUGCUGCCUUCAGGAGGGGCCAAGGACAUUGGCAACAGAAUACACUGAAUACACACAGCAGGCAUGAAUUGCUGGUGUGCACAUGUGGAUGCGGCCAACACAGGGAUUUUGGUGCAGUUAUAUAAUUAUGAAUCAUACCAUACCAAGGCAUUCAGUUCAGUUUCAUUAUGUGAACAUGCUCUUUAUUUCCUUCCUUGUAUGUGUCACAACCCAUUUUGUCCUUCGGUACUAAAAAAGUAGAUAAAAAAAAAAAAGUCUCUGGUUUUUUUAAUACAAUUUCACCAGCUCCAUGUCAUUGUCAGCUCAUCAAAUCAAAUCUUAUUGUUUAUUUGUGACAGCAGCAGGUUUGAUCUGUUGCCUUCAGGGCGGAGUCUCUUUGGAUUAAAAUAUAUGCACUCAUACACACACACACACACACACAUAGUCGCUCAGCUCCUUUGCUUGUGCAGUGACGCACAGACCAAAGUGCCAAGAAUAGAACAGUUCAGUUGCCUCCUUUCCCUCUACCUCCAGGAUUAAUGGACUUAAUUGGGCAAAAACAUAUUUCAUGUGCACUGGCCUUGCUUUUGUAAGGUUUGCACUAGUAUCGGGCACAGGGUCACAUAAAACAAUGAAGUCUCUGAUUUAUUAGGGCUUAAAAUCAUCAUGAUACAUAAAAUUACUUGCUUCUAAUGGCUUCUGCUGUACUGUGAAUGAAAGCUACACUAUUUCCUGCACAUUUUUUAUUAUUUAAAUAGCCACACUUCUUUAAAAUGCUUCUUUUAUUUGCUGUAAAUACCACAAAACCACAGCUUGAUUUCUUACCUUUCAGUCUCUUUCAAAUCUAUUCAAUUGAUUCUGUGCACCUUCCCUCAUUUGGAUAUAAAGUUCAUUUAUUGAGAAUAGGACCUGCUACACAGCUCACCAUCUAAUCACUUUAAUGGAAAAAUUAGGUCAGAUAAAAUAUAAUCUAACAAAAACAACUGUAAAUGAGAGUAAAGUGAAAGUAUAAUUUUGUGACGCAGGGAAAUAUGCUCAGCCUUCAGGGUCAAUUAUGGACUAUAGGGCUGCUUCAUUAGCAACCUCAGCCUUCACAGCCUGGUAAAACAACCCUAUAUGUCUAUUUGGGAUUCAUCAGAAAUUAAUUUCAGUGUGAGCGCAUGUUGGAUAUAAUUCACUUGGAUUAUCGGGGGUUUUGAUAUAUUUCAGUCACAGUUAUAAUGUGGCUCUAUGUACUGCAGAUUAAUAUACACCAAUGACACGCUUACAGCUUGCAGCUAAUCAUUACUUUUAUUCAGAAAACUGAGAUAUUUUUAUAUAUAAAAAAUGUUCAAAAAAUGAGAGAUCCUUCAUAAAAAAGUAAGAAAAGCAAAUAUUCAUGAUGUUCUUAAAAUUAUAGUUAAUUAUAGUAAUUGUUGCAUAACUUUCUGCCGCUUGAUUCAUCUUUUUCUCACCUCCCUCACAGUCCCACAGACUCAUUAGUUUUAAAAAUCAUUAUCACAAUCCUUAAAUUUAACACAACUAGCCGUAGACACCUUUGAGUAGUGUGCAAUUAAUUUUGGGCUCGAGCUCAUACAUUUUAGAAGCACACGGGGUCGUGGUCUCUAAUCAUUUAAUAAUUCAACUCAAACGUGACAAGAUGUAAGAGCAGAAAUGUUGGGUUAGAGGGGUCAGGCCGGUGAGAGGGAGGCAGGCUGGUACUGACAUCCUGAAUCUCAUUAUACCAAGGGGAGUGUCGGGACAUUUUUUCUGUUCUCUGACAUUAGUACCCAAAGUCAAAGUGAGGAAUUCAAUUAAAGUCAUUUUAAUUUGGCAGUUAAAUGCACAUGUACGCAGACCUAUAAGUAAUUUGACAGCUUAGCUAAAGUUCAGUCCAGAAGAAGUAUGACAUUCAGGACACCACAUGGACUUCAUACAGGGCUUUUAUUUUGAAAUGUGAGGUGACGAGGGAAUUUUUUCUACACCUUUAUUUUAUAUGAUCGUUGAGUAGCUACCACAAGUGUUCCAAGUGGAAUCAAUUCAGAAUAUUUAUCUUCCAUUUCAUCUUUUAUUUAUAUUUAACCUGCUUAAUGGUUAUUUUAUGUUAGCUACCUAAAUGCAGAAACUUGCAAACUGGCUUUUAAUUCAAGUGACCACAAAUACGGUGGUGGAUUGAGGUGAAGCUGUACACAACAUUGCACCUGCACUUUUCACAGUGUAGUGAAAUAUAUUUCAUGCUUGGUGCAGACAUCUAAAAUUACAGGUUUGGCACAGUGAAUGUGUGAAUAAAUCAGUACAUGAAAGCA
ensembl:lncRNA